UACCAUUGUUUUCAGUGUGA
rnacentral:miRNA from 1 species